AUGAACCGUCUGCGGGCGGUAGCCAGCCUCGACAGGGACGACCUGGACCCAGACCCGGUCGCGGCCACCACGGAGGCCCUCGCCAAGGUCGACCUCUCCGACGGCCCGAAUGCCACCGCCACCGCCAAGUCCGGCUCCAGCAAUCCCCGUCAAGCAGCUAGAGGCGGCGGCUGCGACGUGGGCAAGUCGCUCGACUACCUGUACCGCGCAUGCAGGAUCGCUACCCUCACCGUGAAGCACAUCGACGUCGCCGUCUCCGUCCUCUCCCGCUUCAUGGAGCCCAAGAAGCUUGCCAGCCUCGCCGAGUUCUGUGACGACCACGCCUACAUCUCCGAGGUCUGA
rnacentral:rRNA from 1 species